rnacentral:rRNA from 1 species
CGCUCUUGCAAAUCAAAGCAUAGAGGUCCCGCCUGCCCUGUGACUAUGGGUUUAACGGCCGCGGUAUUUUGACCGUGCGAAGGUAGCGCAAUCACUUGUCUUUUAAAUGAAGACCUGUAUGAAUGGCAUCACGAGGGCUUAGCUGUCUCCUCUCCCAAGUCAAUGAAAUUGAUCUGCCCGUGCAGAAGCGGACAUAAAUACAUAAGACGAGAAGACCCUAUGGAGCUUUAGACACCAGGCAGAUCACGUCAAGUAACCUUAAAUUAACAAGUAGAAACGCAGUGACCCCUAGCCCAUAUGUCUUUGGUUGGGGCGACCGCGGGGGAAAAUAAAGCCCCCAUGUGGACUGGGGGCACUGCCCCCACAGCCGAGAGCUACAGCUCUAAGCACCAGAAUUUCUGACCAAAAAUGAUCCGGCGAACGCCGAUCAACGGACCGAGUUACCCUAGGGAUAACAGCGCAAUCCUCUCCCAGAGUCCCUAUCGACGAGGGGGUUUACGACCUCGAUGUUGGAUCAGGACAUCCUAAUGGUGCAGCCGCUAUUAAGGGUUCGUUUGUUCAACGAUUAA